CUCAUAUAAGAGGAGUGGGACUGUCUCCAGCCAGCCCUGGGAGACGAUGCUGAGAGCAUAUUGAAAAGCUGUCUUCAGCAGAAGCUUGCCAGUUUAACAACUCUGCUCACUGUUCCUAUUGCACAGUGGGCUCUUUGACGCAACAGAAAGAGCUGCUUUUUUUUUUCCGCUUCCUCUUAAAUCCGCCUGGCCAAUUUAAACCUUGUGGAUAUUUCUUCCCCCUCGGGGAAAGCUUAUGUGAGGAUUUUCUUUUUUUAACAGUUCAUUCCGUGAAACCAUUUUUUUUAUAUAUUGUUUGCUGUUAGAAAAUGUUGGAGCUGAACACAAGGCUUUCUUUGCAGAUCGCUAUUGAGAGAACUAAGAAAGGAUGUGGAUAUGGUAUUGAUGUCUCUCUUCAGGCUGUGUUUUUGAGGUAGCCUGACUCUGCAGUGUUUUGGCUGUGAGAGAAGCAUCAUCUAACUACAUCAUUGCUGUGCUGGUGGAAAAAGGGACUGGCCUGUCUCAGGCCUGCUCUCCUUGAAUUCUCAGUUUUCUCAGUGAUGCAGUGUUUCCCAG
ensembl:lncRNA